CAGUCGCCGCGGGAAUACGGAGGGGGCUAGCGUUGUUCGGAAUUACUGGGCGUAAAGCGCACGUAGGCGGCUUGGUAAGUUAGAGGUGAAAGCCUGGAGCUCAACUCCAGAAUUGCCUUUAAGACUGCCGAGCUAGCAGGUGAGAGAGGUAAGUGGAAUUCCGAGUGUAGAGGUGAAAUUCGUAGAUAUCCGGAAGAACACCAGUGGCGAAGGCGGCUUACUGGCUCAUACUGGACGCUGAGGUGCGAAAGCGUGGGGAGCAAACAGGAUUAGAUACCCCCGUAGUCCCUGUCUCUUAUAC
rnacentral:rRNA from 1 species